GGGUGGGGGGGCUCCGAGGGCCUCCUGUGUGACCCACGUCAUCAGAUACCUUUUUGCAUGCACCGUCUCUAACCCGAGCUUGCUGUCCCGGGUUGUCGGUCACUCUCACCACAUCUCCCUGGCCCGUGCACCUGUGCUUACAUCCAAGGGCAGGCCCAGCCGCUUCGAUGUCCCCUGGGUGUGCCUAGAUGCCAGGGGAGGUUGUGAAGCAGAGUGUGGGGUCCUGGGCAGGUGUCCUGGAACAAGCUGAUGGUGGGAAUUGCACAAGAUUUCGUUCGAGUGGCUCGCCUGAGGUCUGAAUGAGGGGAGGCCCCUGCAGCCAGGGCCACCUCAGGGGCAGAGAUGAGGUGAACAGAGUGCCAAGCGCCAGGGGAGGGCGAGGAGGGACCCUAGAGGAAAAGAGAUGUGCAGCCCAGAGCUGGGGCGUGUGGGAGGCACCCCGCCCCAGCAGCCGCGUGGGCGUGCAGAGAGUACCGCUGGGCUCCUGGAGGCCCCAGGCUGAGGCCAGGCCAGGGUGUCACCCUCGUUCCUCCACGGCACACUUCCUCCUCUGACUCACCAUGGCUCCUGGCAUUGGCCUGCAAGGUGGCAAAGGAGGGACUGGGUGCCCACUGGCUGGACAGGGACACUGAGGCCUGGAGCAGGACAGAUCACUCAGUCCGGCAUCAGCAUCAGGAGCCAGGGAAAAGGAAUUCUUGGCGAAAGAGAUGCCGCCUCCGAGGGCUGCCGGGAGCACUCCUGGGCCCACUUCCCAACAAAGCUGGCUGGUGAGACCAAGCCCAUCGACGGAAGAGCUCCCUGUGCAGAGCCCAAGCCCCCGGAAGCACCCGCCACAGUGGAUCCAGCAGGAAGGAGCUGUUGGAGGCCCUCAGUCUAGUGGACCCUAGCGGGGCUGCUGGGAGCUGAGACCAGAAUGUCAACAUCAGCGAGAGCAGAGGGGGAGGAAGGCUCUCCAGGCAGACUGGCAGCUGUGUCGGCCAGGAGAUCAUUCACCAAAGUCAAGACCACGGCCCCUGACACACUGUAUUCGGUAUUGCCCCAGCUCAUCAGUAUUGCAAUAAUGCUCAGGAUCCUAGCACUCACUGGAAAAUAAGGAACUUCAUCAGGAGAUUUCCUCACGGCAAAGACUGGCGUCAUCUUAGAGUCUAGGCCAGUCUUAGGGCCAGCACUGUGCAGCAGUCUAAGCCUCCGCCUGUGGUGCUGGCUUCCCAUAUGGGCGCCGGUUCAUAAAUUUAAAAAAAAAUUAAAACUGUAUUUUUAAAGACUGAUUUACUUGAAAGGCAGAGCAAGAGAUACAUUCCAUCUGCUGGUUCACUCAAAUGGCCACAAUGGCUCAGGUUGAAGCCAAGAGCCCAGAACUCCAUCCUGGCCUUCUAGGUGAUAUGGGCCCACACACUUGGGCCAUCAUCCACUGCCUUCCCAGGCAAAUUAGCAGGAAGCUGGAUUGGAAGAGGAACAGCCGGGCCUUGAACCAGCACUCUGAUAUGGGAUGCCAGUGUUGCAAGCGGUGGCUUAAUCCACUGUGCCACAAAACCAGCCCUGACUGCGUUCACUAAGACAAGACACACCCCUUUGAGCCCCAAAGAGACAAAAGUUCACUGUAUUUGCUUGGCAAGCUCUCGUGUGCAUGCUAAAAAUACCGCCCCAGUGUUGUCUCUGGGGGUGAGUGACGUGUGCCUGGUGAGGUGCCAUCAGGCGUGGAAGAGGAGCCUGGCAAAUUAAUUGACUGUCCCUCGGCAGCAGCUCACAGAUGGGAAGGGAACUGGUCCUCCCUCAAGAGAAACCUGGAUGCAGGUCACAUCAGCAGGUGCCAACAAAGCCUGCAGGAAAGCUGGUGUCCAGGGGCAGGAGGCCCAGACGCUGUUGGUGCUCAUCGUGUAGGCUCCUAGCUCUGCCUGCCCCCGCCACUGACACUCAGCUAGACAGGAGGCCUCUCCACGGGCUGGGUCGGCAAAGAACCCUAUGUGGGUUCUGCCGCUUCAAAAAGACUAUUCAAAGUGCGGGUGAUUAAAGAAAAAU